GUCUUUUCCAACUGGGCUGAUUCUGUGAUUCUCUGAUUCCCAUUCCUAUGGCAGCACAUGCUUGAGGCUCUAUCCCCAGGGUGAUAGAGAUGUCUGUCCAUAUCUAUCUCCAAGGUUCCUGUCCUUGAGCCCAGGCCCUGAGGUGAGGCUGAGAAUAAGUGCAAGGCAGAGGUACUGCUGAGGAAGGACAACCCUGUGAAUGCCCAGGAGAAGCUGUGAGUGCCCAUCCCCAAGCAGGUGCUGUGUCCAUCCCCUGUGUGCCAGGAUUUCUCCUUCCCAGAGUUUGGGCAGAUGGAGGAGGAGGC